rnacentral:rRNA from 1 species
UACAGAGGUCCCAAGCGUUGUUCGGAUUCACUGGGCGUAAAGGGUGCGUAGGUGGCCAGGUAAGUCUGAUGUGAAAUCUCGGAGCUCAACUCCGAAACUGCAUUGGAUACUAUCUGGCUGGAGGGUCGGAGGGGGGACUGGAAUUCUCGGUGUAGCAGUGAAAUGCGUAGAUAUCGGGAGGAACACCGGUGGCGAAGGCGGUUCUCUGGGCCUUACCUGACGCUGAGGAGCGAAAGCGUGGGGAGCGAACAGG